GGUUGAAUUCGAGUAAGUGCACUAUCAGAGUGUGGUCCGGUAAAUCGUUGGGGUUCAUUAUAAGUGUCAGAGAGGAAUCGAGGUUGCUCCUGCUUAAAAAAUAAAAAAAUAAAAAAAUAAAAAAAAUAAAAAAUAAAAAAAAUGCCUGAACCGAGGGAAUAGAAGAGAGGUUCGUGGUUUCAUAGAUAGAUUGAACUACCUGUCAUGGUUCACAUCUCAUCUAACAGCCACGUGUGAACCCACAUUCGAGAUGUUGAAAAAAAAACGGUCAGGUGAAAUAAUGAUUGCCAAGGGGCAUUGAA
rnacentral:lncRNA from 1 species